AUUGAACGCUGGCGGCAGGCCUAACACAUGCAAGUCGAGCGGAUCGGCGGACGGGUGAGUAAGGCCUAUGAAUCUGCCUGUUCGUGGGGGAUAAGGUCCGGUAACGGGCGCUAAUACUGAUUACUAUCAGAUGAGCCUGGGUGGGAUUAGCUAGUUGGUGGGGUAAAGGCCUACCAAGGCGACGAUCCGUAACUGGUCUGAGAGGAUGAUCAGUCACACUGGAACUGAGACACGGUCCAGACUCCUACGGGAGGCAGCAGUGGGGAAUAUUGGACAAUGGGCGAAAGCCUGAUGCAGCCAUGCCGCGUGUGUGAAGAAGGUCUUCGGAUUGUAAAGCACUUUAAGUUGGGAGGCGUUACCAACAGAAUAAGCACCGGCUAACUCCGUGCCAGCAGCCGCGGUAAUAC
rnacentral:rRNA from 1 species